UACGUAGGGUGCGAGCGUUGUCCGGAAUUAUUGGGCGUAAAGAGCUCGUAGGCGGCCUGUCGCGUCGGUUGUGAAAGCCCGGGGCUUAACCCCGGGUCUGCAGUCGAUACGGGCAGGCUAGAGUUCGGUAGGGGAGAUCGGAAUUCCUGGUGUAGCGGUGAAAUGCGCAGAUAUCAGGAGGAACAUCGGUGGCGAAGGCGGAUCUCUGGGCCGAUACUGACGCUGAGGAGCGAAAGCGUGGGGAGCGAACAGG
rnacentral:rRNA from 1 species